ACGCUCGACACCUACGAGAGGCAGCAGUGGGGGAUAUUGCACAAUGGGGGAAACCCCGAUGCAGCAACGCCGCGUGAAGGAUGAAGGUUUUCGGAUUGUAAACUUCUGUUCUUAGUGACGAUAAUGACGGUAGCUAAGAAGAAAGCUCCGGCUAACUACGUGCCAGUAGCCGCGGUAAUCUGAGCGGGCUGGCAAGGC
rnacentral:rRNA from 1 species